rnacentral:rRNA from 1 species
GGAUUAGAUACCCUGGUAGUCCACGCCGUAAACGAUGUCUACUAGCCGUUGGGGGGCUUGACUCUUUAGUGGCGCAGCUAACGCGAUAAGUAGACCGCCUGGGGAGUACGGUCGCAAGAUUAAAACUCAAAUGAAUUGACGGGGGCCCGCACAAGCGGUGGAGCAUGUGGUUUAAUUCGAAGCAACGCGAAAAACCUUACCUGGUCUUGACAUCCACAGAAGUUUGAAGAGAUUCGAACGUGCCUUCGGGAACUGUGAGACAGGUGCUGCAUGGCUGUCGUCAGCUCGUGCCG